AGCAAUGUCCUAAGCCUGGUGGAGGCCUUCAGAGCAUUUGAUUCAGACAACGAUGGCGCAAUCAAUGCUGCAGAGCUAGGGGGAAUCCUGAGUUCGCUGGGGUACAACGCUAGCGAGCAAGACGUGAGGGCCAUGAUGCGAGAAGGGGACACCAACAAGGACGGAUUGCUGAGCAUGGAAGAGUUCCUAGAGAUGAACACCAAGGACAUGGAGCUUGGGGAGCUUGCCAAUUUCCUCAGGACCGCUUUCCAAGCUUUUGAAGUCGAAGGGGAUGAUGCUUUGACAGCUGCCGACUUGUAU
rnacentral:lncRNA from 1 species